UAUGGCCACAUCACGUUGAAAACAUCAGUUGCCGCGCGAUCACCGAAGCUAAGUAACGUUGUGCAUGAUUAGUACCUAUAUGGGUGACUGCUUGGGAAUGCCAGGUGGU